AUUGAACGCUGGCGGCAGGCCUAACACAUGCAAGUCGAGCGGAUGAAGGGAGCUUGCUCCUGGAUUCAGCGGCGGACGGGUGAGUAAUGCCUAGGAAUCUGCCUGGUAGUGGGGGAUAACGUCCGGAAACGGGCGCUAAUACCGCAUACAUCCUGAGGGAGAAAGUGGGGGAUCUUCGGACCUCACGCUAUCAGAUGAGCCUAGGUCGGAUUAGCUAGUUGGUGGGGUAAAGGCCUACCAAGGCGACGAUCCGUAACUGGUCUGAGAGGAUAAUCAGUCACACUGGAACUGAGACGCGGUCCAGACUCCUACGGGAGGCAGCAGUGGGGAAUAUUGGACAAUGGGCGAAAGCCUGAUCCAGCCAUGCCGCGUGUGUGAAGAAGGUCUUCGGAUUGUAAAGCACUUUAAGUUGGGAGGAAGGGCAGUAAGUUAAUACCUUGCUGUUUUGACGUUACCAACAGAAUAAGCACCGGCUAACUUCGUG
rnacentral:rRNA from 1 species